rnacentral:rRNA from 1 species
GAUGAACGCUGGCGGCGUGCCUAAUACAUGCAAGUCGAGCGAACAGACGAGGAGCUUGCUCCUCUGACGUUAGCGGCGGACGGGUGAGUAACACGUGGAUAACCUACCUAUAAGACUGGGAUAACUUCGGGAAACCGGAGCUAAUACCGGAUAAUAUCUUGAACCGCAUGGUUCAAUAGUGAAAGACGGUUUUGCUGUCACUUAUAGAUGGAUCCGCGCCGCAUUAGCUAGUUGGUAAGGUAACGGCUUACCAAGGCGACGAUGCGUAGCCGACCUGAGAGGGUGAUCGGCCACACUGGAACUGAGACACGGUCCAGGCUCCUACGGGAGGCAGCAGUAGGGAAUCUUCCGCAAUGGGCGAAAGCCUGACGGAGCAACGCCGCGUGAGUGAUGAAGGUCUUCGGAUCGUAAAACUCUGUUAUUAGGGAAGAACAAAUGUGUAAGUAACUAUGCACGUCUUGACGGUACCUAAUCAGAAAGCCACGGCUAACUACGUG